UACGUAGGGUGCAAGCGUUAAUCGGAAUUACUGGGCGUAAAGCGUGCGCAGGCGGUUAUGUAAGACAGAUGUGAAAUGCCCGGGCUUAACCUGGGAACUGCAUUUGUGACUGCAUGGCUAGAGUUUGGCAGAGGGGGGUAGAAUUCCACGUGUAGCAGUGAAAUGCGUAGAUAUGUGGAGGAACACCGAUGGCGAAGGCAGCCCCGUGGGUCAAGACUGACGCUCAUGCACGAAAGCGUGGGGAGCAAACAGG
rnacentral:rRNA from 1 species